GUAAGGAUCUUUUUCUGGAGGCCUCCCCUUAGUGAAGUUUUUCUCCAUGAAUCUGGACUUUUCUGAAAUGGUUUGCAGCAGUAGAGGACCAAUGGUGGAUCUCUUUAAGUAUGGAAAAUUGAAGAUCUUUCAGGGUGUGAACAGUUAAAUUGGAGAUGUUCAAGCAACCUUGACUUCAAAACAAAGCUGUGGUAGAUGAGGCUGCUGCUGAGCUCCGGAAGUACAGAAAACCACAUCUGCAGGGGAUUCAUUUUCAGCCCUAAAACCUGGAGAAAUGAAGUAAAGUUUACUACUGAACUAGAAUGAUAUUUUUUUUUUACCUGCCUGAAGCAAAGAUGUAAGAUUUGGAUUUACUCUGAACCACUAAUUCUCCAUUUCUACCAGUGCUUCAAAGAGUUAUCAUUCAUUUUGUACCACUUUUUACAUCUCCAUUGCCCUUCUUUAAGUUUGCUCUUCUCUGUGUGUCUGACCUCUGGUAGGGAUGGGGACGUUUAAAGAUCCACUGAUCCGUUGAGAGUAAAGACUAGGACUUCAAAAAAGAUGAAUGUGUAUUUACACAUUGGGUUUACUUUUGUCACUGAAACUUGAAUAUGUUUUUAAAAAUGGGGCAGGGUUUGUUCGAAGUAUGGUAACUUUUCUUAUGUCUUUAAGUAUACAUUUGUGGUUGAACGAAGAUGAAGAUUCCUAAUUCACAGUAUUUCCAAUUUAAACUACAGUAUUAAUACAAACAUUAAAGGAGUGUUAUGAUUAUCUCCUUGCAUGAGAGUAUGGCAAUGUAUUUGAAUAUAAAAUAGCAAAGGUUGUAAUAUCCCACUUUCUUCUGCUAAACCACUUCAUACAGUUGUGCAUUAACAGGAAAAUGUUUGAGAGACGAGAUGAUUUAAGAUGAGGUUAAAUGAAUUAAAGUCUUAUGGAUAUUAUGAAAAUUAUGGGCUUCAUAUGUCUUACAUAUUUUAGUAAUACCUCCAGAUCAGCGGACUUGCAUGUUCUUGUCUUUGUAUGUAAUUCUGUUGUGAUUGAAGUAAAAUGGUGUGUGAUACUCUAAGGAUCAUAGCCUCAACUAAUAAAUAUGGAAACAGUGUAAACUUUCUGUUAAAGGAAUUAGACAUGUAACAGCAAUUGCCCUGUCUCUUAGAAUGUUCCCCUGAAAUCCCAUCUGAGAUGCUCUCUGGGCAGAUGUCUUUGCUCGCAGUGUCUAAAGUAACACUAGAUAUCAAUAUUUAAGCACAGAAUUGCUUUCAUUGUUUAUUGCUUGGUUGCUUCUUGCGUCUUACAGGAGUAGAAAAAUCUCAGAUAUAAUUAGA